rnacentral:rRNA from 1 species
CACGUAGGGCGCAAGCGUUGUCCGGAAUUAUUGGGCGUAAAGAGCUCGUAGGCGGCUCAUUGCGUCAACCGUGAAAACCAGCAGCUCAACUGUUGGCUUGCGGUUGAUACGGGUGGGCUGGAGUUCGGUAGGGGAGACUGGAAUUCCUGGUGUAGCGGUGAAAUGCGCAGAUAUCAGGAGGAACACCGGUGGCGAAGGCGGGUCUCUGGGCCGAUACUGACGCUGAGGUGCGAAAGCGUGGGGAGCAAACAGG